CCUACGGGAGGCAGCAGUGAGGAAUAUUGGACAAUGGAGGCAACUCUGAUCCAGCCAUGCCGCGUGCAGGAAGACUGCCCUAUGGGUUGUAAACUGCUUUUAUAUAGGAAGAAACCUACUUACGUGUAAGUAGCUGACGGUACUAUAAGAAUAAGGAUCGGCUAACUCCGUGCCAGCAGCCGCGGUAAUACGGAGGAUCCAAGCGUUAUCCGGAAUCAUUGGGUUUAAAGGGUCCGUAGGUGGAUAAUUAAGUCAGAGGUGAAAUCUUGCAGCUCAACUGUAAAAUUGCCUUUGAUACUGGUUAUCUUGAGUUAUUAUGAAGUAGUUAGAAUAUGUAGUGUAGCGGUGAAAUGCAUAGAUAUUACAUAGAAUACCAAUUGCGAAGGCAGAUUACUAAUAAUCAACUGACACUGAUGGACGAAAGCGUGGGUAGCGAACAGGAUUAGAUACCCUGGUAGUCCACGCCGUAAACGAUGGUUACUAGCUGUUUGGACCUUGUGUCUGAGUGGCUAAGCGAAAGUGAUAAGUAACCCACCUGGGGAGUACGUUCGCAAGAAUGAAACUCAAAGGAAUUGACGGA
rnacentral:rRNA from 1 species